UAUUUUUUCCUGGAAUAUGUGCCACUUU
rnacentral:piRNA from 1 species